ensembl:lncRNA
AGGCGUCCACACGAAACCAAAACGAAACCGGAUCGAUUUGAAACCACCUCCGAGGGUGGUUUCAGAAGUUUGCGGUUUCGGUCAGCGGAUUCGCUGGCUUCGUGUGGACGGAAGGCCGAACCGUACAAGACCUUUGCGGUUUCGCCAUGAAAUCGGCUUCGUGUGGACGGGGCCUAAUCGUUCUUCACUGAUCGUCAUGGUGUUGGUGAUAUGGGGCUUAUUUUCUGCAGGGUUAUAUUGGUCUGCAGCUUGGAUCUGGCAAGUGAAAACAUUUUUACUGAAGUUAAAUAUAUAUUUACCCCUGGCUAUAAGCACGUACUGUUGGAUCAGUUCAUCAGUCCUGAAGGAACCAUCUGUAAAACGUCCUGCUCUACCUCCACAUGCAGCGCUGCAGUGUCUCAGAAGGUCUCGUCUUUUGCUGUGGAGAUGAAGCCCACCACUGUGGUGAUGAAGCCCAUCAGGGAGUCUUAAGCUUGUUCCUCUCCAACCCCAAAAGCCAGAUUCAGUGUCCCUGGAUCAGCCCCCCACACAGGACCCUGACCCAGGCCAGACCGGGACCCAGUGUGGAUGAAGUGCUGAUAGUCACCCUGUAGCCUGGAUCUGACCUCCUCCCCCCUCCUCCCCACAGGGUCCAGCCAACAUCCUGGUCCUCGCCCUGGCCUCUGCCGUGGUUCUAGCGGGUUCCCUGCUGACCGCCGUCUCGAAGAUCUGACGGCAGAACCCGUCCCGCCAGUAGGGCUCGCCCCCCUGGUCCCAGUCCGGCGGGGUGCUAGAUAAAGUGACUUUCGGUCAGGAUGUCAAUGAGGAGCCCCCUGAUAGACCUGGUGGGUCGCCUGGAGGCGCCAAUUGAGUGGAGGGAAGGGGGCGUGGCCGUACCAGUAGAUGCUCAGCUCUGCCUCCCCCCCUUGGGCAAGGUGUUUCCUCGUUUUCCCCAGCUCUACACCUGUCGGACUUGCACACCUGUCAUCAAUCUCCAGUCAUCAUCUCUGCUCCACUUAAACCCCGGUUCUACAGCCACUCGUCGCAAGAUCGUUGUUUCAACUACAGUGGAUCACCAUCCCCGUACCUGCCUGCCUUCCACCCCGUAUGCUCAUCUGCCUGCCUAGCUCCCUGGAAUCCAUCCUUGCCUGUCCAUCUCCUGUUGUUCCUUACUGCUCUCGCCCCCACUACAAUAAACCUCUGGU